AUGAGUCAGCAGAGGACAGCGCGGAGACUGCCCAGCCUGUUGGUGGACCUGGGGCAUGAAACCGUGCGCUGCCACUGCCGGGACCCCAUCAACGUGGAGAACCUACUGCCAUCAAAAAUAAGGAUUAAUCUAGAAGAAAAUGUACAGUAUGUGUCCAUGAGAAAAGCUCUGAAAGUGAAGAGGCCCCGGUUUGAUGUGUCGCUGGUAUACUUAACUUGAAAGUUUAUGGAUCUUGUCAGAUCUGCCCCUGGGGGCAUUCUUGACUUAAACAAGGUUGCCACAAAACUGGAUGUCCGGAAGAGGCGAGUGUAUGAUAUCACCAAUGUCUUGGAUGGAUCGAACUGGUGAUAAAGAAAUCUAAGAACCACAUUCGGUGGAUAGGAUCUGACCUGAACAACUUUGGGGCCGCACCCCAGCAGAAGAAGCUGCAGGCAGAGCUCUCUGACCUGUCGGCAAUGGAAGACGCCUUGGACGAGUUGAUUAAAGAUUGCGCUCAGCAACUGUUGGAGUUAACAGAUGACAAAGAAAAUGAGAGACUAGCGUACGUAACCUAUCAGGAUAUUCAUGGCAUUCAAGCUUUCCACGAAGAGAUUGUCAUUGUAGUGAAGGCUCCAGAGGAAACCAGACUGGAUGUUCUAGCUCCCAGAGAAGAUUCUAUCACAGUACAUAUCAGGAGCACCAAAGGACCCACUGAUGUAUAUUUGUGUGAAGUAGAACAGAACUCAAAUGGUAAAACAACUGAUGGAAUAGAAGCCUCUCCAUCUAAAAGCAUCCAUCCACAGUGCCCAGAGAAAGAAGACAAGCCUCCUCAGUGAGUGAAGAACUUCUCACAGUGAGUGGCUCAUAGCAGUGCAGAGUGACGAAGGUCUUUGGAGCAUCCCGAGGGGGUGAAUCAUGUACCCCCUCCCCCGUGGGUGAAUCAUG